GACGUAGGGGGCGAGCGUUGUCCGGAAUUACUGGGCGUAAAGCGCGCGCAGGCGGUUUUUCAAGUCAGUGGUGAAAGCCCGGAGCUCAACUCCGGAACUGCCAUUGAAACUGUGAAACUUGAGGAUGAGAGAGGUGAGUGGAAUUCCCAGUGUAGAGGUGAAAUUCGUAGAUAUUGGGAAGAACACCGGUGGCGAAGGCGGCUCACUGGCUCAUUUCUGACGCUCAGGCGCGACAGCGUGGGGAUCAAACAGG
rnacentral:rRNA from 1 species